rnacentral:rRNA from 1 species
UACGAAGGGGGCUAGCGUUGCUCGGAAUCACUGGGCGUAAAGGGUGCGUAGGCGGGCCUUUAAGUCAGGGGUGAAAUCCUGGAGCUCAACUCCAGAACUGCCUUUGAUACUGAAGAUCUUGAGUUCGGGAGAGGUGAGUGGAACUGCGAGUGUAGAGGUGAAAUUCGUAGAUAUUCGCAAGAACACCAGUGGCGAAGGCGGCUCACUGGCCCGAUACUGACGCUGAGACACGAAAGCGUGGGGAGCAAACAGG